rnacentral:rRNA from 1 species
AUUGAACGCUGGCGGCAGGCCUAACACAUGCAAGUCGAACGAGUGGCGGACGGGUGAGUAAUGUCUGGGAAACCGCCUGCUGGAGGGGGAUAACUACUGGAAACGGUAGCUAAUACCGCAUACCAUCAGAUGGGCCCAGAUGGGAUUAGCUUGUUGGUGGGGUAACGGCUUACCAGGGCGACGAUCCCUAGCUGGUCUGAGGGGAUGACCGGCCAACCUGGAACUGGGACACGGUCCAGACGCCUACGGGAGGCAGCAGUGGGGAAUAUGGCACAAUGGGCGCAAGCCUGAUGCAGCGAUGCCGCGUGUAUGAAGAAGGCCUUCGGGUUGUAAAGUACGUUCAGCGGGGAGGCGUUACCCGCAGAAGAAGCACCGGCUAACUCCGUGCCAGCAGCCGCGGUAAUUC